GAUGAACGCUGGCGGCGUGCCUAAUACAUGCAAGUCGAGCGAACAGAUUAGGAGCUUGCUCCUCUGACGUUAGCGGCUGACGGGUGAGUAACACGUGGAUAACCUACCUAUAAGACUGGGAUAACUUCGGGAAACCGGAGCUAAUACCGGAUAAUAUAUUGAACCGCAUGGUUCAAUAGUGAAAGACGGCUUUGCUGUCACUUAUAGAUGGAUCCGCGCCGCAUUAGCUAGUUGGUAAGGUAACGGCUUACCAAGGCAACGAUGCGUAGCCGACCUGAGAGGGUGAACAGCCACACUGGAACUGAGACACGGUCCAGACUCCUACGGGAGGCAGCAGUAGGGAAUCUUCCGCAAUGGGCGAAAGCCUGAUGGAGCAACGCCGCGUGAGUGAUGAAGGUCUUCGGAUCGUAAAACUCUGUUAUUAGGGAAGAAAAAAUGUGGAAGUAACUAUGCACGUCUUGACGGUACCUAAUCAGAAAGCAACGGCUAACUACGUG
rnacentral:rRNA from 1 species